UGGGGAAUCUUCGGCAAUGGGGGCAACCCUGACCGAGCCAUGCCGCGUGAGUGAAGAAGGCCCUAGGGUUGUAAAGCUCUUUCGCCCGUGAAGAUAAUGACGGUAGCGGGAGAAGAAGCCCCGGCUAACUCCGUGCCAGCAGCCGCGGUAAUACGGAGGGGGCUAGCGUUGUUCGGAAUUACUGGGCGUAAAGCGCGCGUAGGCGGAUAUUCAAGUCAGAGGUGAAAGCCCAGUGCUCAACGCUGGAAUUGCCUUUGAUACUGGAUGUCUUGAGUUCGGGAGAGGAGAGUGGAAUUCCCAGUGUAGAGGUGAAAUUCGUAGAUAUUGGGAAGAACACCGGUGGCGAAGGCGGCUCUCUGGCCCGGUACUGACGCUGAGGUGCGAUAGCGUGGGGAGCAAACAGGAUUAGAUACCCCCGUAGUCC
rnacentral:rRNA from 1 species